UAGGGAAUCUUCCGCAAUGGACGCAAGUCUGACGGAGCAACGCCGCGUGAGUGAGGAAGGUUUUCGGAUCGUAAAACUCUGUUGCCAGGGAAGAACACCAGGGAGAGGAAAUGCUCUUUGGGUGACGGUACCUGAGAAGAAAGCCCCGGCUAACUACGUGCCAGCAGCCGCGGUAAUACGUAGGGGGCAAGCGUUGUCCGGAAUUAUUGGGCGUAAAGCGCGCGCAGGCGGCAACUUAAGUCUGGUGUUUAAGCCCGGGGCUCAACCCCGGUACGCACUGGAAACUGGGUAGCUGGAGUGCAGGAGAGGGGAGUGGAAUUCCACGUGUAGCGGUGAAAUGCGUAGAUAUGUGGAGGAACACCAGUGGCGAAGGCGACUCUCUGGCCUGUAACUGACGCUGAGGCGCGAAAGCGUGGGGAGCAAACA
rnacentral:rRNA from 1 species